rnacentral:rRNA from 1 species
GAUGAACGCUAGCUACAGGCUUAACACAUGCAAGUCGAGGGGAAACGAUAGAGAAAGCUUGCUUUUUCUAGGCGUCGACCGGCGCACGGGUGAGUAACGCGUAUCCAACCUGCCCAUCACUUGGGGAUAACCUUGCGAAGGUAAGACUAAUACCCAAUGAUAUCUCUAGAAGACAUCUGAAAGAGAUUAAAGAUUUAUCGGUGAUGGAUGGGGAUGCGUCUGAUUAGCUUGUUGGCGGGGUAACGGCCCACCAAGGCGACGAUCAGUAGGGGUUCUGAGAGGAAGGUCCCCCACAUUGGGACUGAGACACGGUCCAAACUCCUACGGGAGGCAGCAGUGAGGAAUAUUGGUCAAUGGACGAGAGUCUGAACCAGCCAAGUAGCGUGCAGGAUGACGGCCCUAUGGGUUGUAAACUGCUUUUAUAAGGGAAUAAAGUGAGUCUCGUGAGACUUUUUGCAUGUACCUUAUGAAUAGGGACCGGCUAAUUCCGUGCCAGCCGCCGCAGUAA